AUUGAACGCUGGCGGCAGGCCUAACACAUGCAAGUCGAACGGUAGCACAGAGAGCUUGCUCUCGGGUGACGAGUGGCGGACGGGUGAGUAACGUCUGGGAAACUGCCCGAUGGAGGGGGAUAACUACUGGAGACGGUAGCUAAUACCGCAUAACGUCGCAAGACCAAAGUGGGGGACCUUCGGGCCUCACACCAUCGGAUGUGCCCAGAUGGGAUUAGCUAGUAGGUGGGGUAAUGGCUCACCCAGGCGACGAUCCCUAGCUGGUCUGAGAGGAUGACCAGCCACACUGGAACUGAGACACGGUCCAGACUCCUACGGGAGGCAGCAGUGGGGAAUAUUGCACAAUGGGCGCAAGCCUGAUGCAGCCAUGCCGCGUGUAUGAAGAAGGCCUUCGGGUUGUAAAGUACUUUCAGCGGGGAGGAAGGCGGUGGAGUUAAUAACUUCACCGAUUGACGUUACCCGCAGAAGAAGCACCGGCUAACUCCGUGCCAGCAGCCGCGUAA
rnacentral:rRNA from 1 species